GCCUGGGUGGCUAAGUUGGUUGAGUGUCUGACUUCGGUUCAGGUCAUGAUCUCGCGGUCCGUGGGUUCGAGCCCCGCGUCGGGCU
rnacentral:tRNA from 1 species